rnacentral:rRNA from 1 species
AACGUAGGAGGCGAGCGUUAUCCGGAUUUACUGGGUGUAAAGCGCGUGUAGGCGGCCCGGUAAGUCCGCUGUGAAAGUCGGGGGCUCAACCCUCGAAUGCCGGUGGAUACUGUCGGGCUAGAGUGCGGAAGAGGCGAGUGGAAUUCCUGGUGUAGCGGUGAAAUGCGCAGAUAUCAGGAGGAACACCAAUUGCGAAGGCAGCUCGCUGGGACGUGACUGACGCUGAGACGCGAAAGCGUGGGGAGCGAACAGG